ACAUAAUAAAUAGCUCCUUAAUUGGGAGAUGGAAUGAACGGUAGUACUGACUAUAUUAUGAAGAAUUGCCUGUGAAUUUUUAGUUUUAAUGAAAAUAUUAAGAUGUUAUUUUUAGACAAAAAGACCCUAUGAAGCUUUAUAACUUGCAACACCUCUACAUGUCCCAAGGUUAUUUUUUUGGGGUAAAAGGUAAUAAUGAUAUUACAGCAUUUAAGUGAUAAACAUCCAUAGGUGAAUUAAUAGUAAGCUCCUCUAGGGAUAACAGCAUAAUCUUAGCCGAGAGAUCCUAUUGAAGCUAGGGGUUGUGACCU
rnacentral:rRNA from 1 species